rnacentral:rRNA from 1 species
UACGAGGGGGCGAGCGUUGUUCGGAAUUAUUGGGCGUAAAGGGCGCGUAGGCGGUCGGAUAAGUCUUGUGUGAAAUCUUCGGGCUCAACUCGAAGUCUGCACAGGAAACUAUCUGGCUUGAGUGUGGGAGAGGUGAGUGGAAUUCCGUGGUGUAGCGGUGAAAUGCGUAGAUAUCAGGAGGAACACCUGUGGCGAAAGCGGCUCACUGGACCACAACUGACGCUGAGGCGCGAAAGCUAGGGGAGCAAACAGG